GUAUGUACUAGGUGAUGAGAGUCCGUGCGUAGCUACUAUGAUAUUAAAUGUUUGGGUAGUUUAGGACCCACAUCAUGUCUAAUGUGAGAUAUCCAUUAUUUGAAUUAUCAAAAUUAUCUUUUGUGAUAUGUUAAGAGAACAUAGAAGAACGAAAAGUGAUCAUACAAAUAUUGUUGAACCUUGUAAGAAUUUACUUGCGUAUAAAUGAUACCUUUGUGUGCGUUCUUGAUAUUUUAAUUAAUAUUUGUGGAUCGGGCCGAUCGCCUUGGUGAAAUAGAUAUAUCUAUGGUACGGGCUGCUCGACCCUCGGCAGUGCACAAUUUAUAUUCUAUUGGAGCAGGCCGUCGACAUUGUUGCGCAUGAAUAUAUAUAUAUAUAUGUAUGUGUGUGUGUGUGUGUGUGUGUGUGCGCGCGCGCUCGAGCUUAUACCUUUCACCUUAUGUGAGAUAUUAUUUGAAUUAUUAAAAAAAUCUUUUAUGAUAUGUUAGGGACUAGAGUAGAACGAAAAGUAAUAAUACGAAUAUUGUCGAACCUUCUAAGUAUUUCCUUGUAUAUAAAUGAUCCAUUUGCGUGCAUUUUGAUUUUUUAAUUGAUAUUUGUGGAUCGGGCCGAUCACCUCGGUAAAAUAGAUGCAUUUAUGGUUUGUGCCGCUUGACCCUCGGCAGUGCAC
rnacentral:lncRNA from 1 species